UCUCUAUGCAAAAGUUAAAAGUGCUAAUAGUAGUGGCUCUUGGCUAAUGGAGUCAUACCUAAUACUAUGAUUUUUUCAGUAAAAGUUAAGAAUCUGCAGGUAUAUUCUGCUUUGUGUUUUUACUGCUGUAAUAAUGUGAUCCAAUAUAUCUCCUGUUGCUUUUUUGUAUUCAGCUAAGUUAAGGCAUUUGUCUUUAUUAAGAGAAAAAGGAAAGCAAAAAAGGAUGAGUGCGAGAGAGGAGAAAGAAGAAAGGAGAUGGGGAAUGUGAUUUCCAACCAGAUAAAGAAAGAGGAGUUUAUGCGCGGGGAUCAUAUUUACACAUGGCUACACGGCUAUGCAUAAGCACAUCUUGCUGGUCGGGAGAUAGGAACAAGAAUAAUCCUCGAUCGUUACAUCUUUAGCUCAUCUCCCUCUCGUCGCCCUGUAUCCCAAUGUCCAACAUGUGGUGAUCGACCAAGGAGUGAUGGGGUCAUAUCUUCAUGCAUUGAAUGCUUCCUCUCUGGUGGUAAACUAUAUCGUUUUCAAUAUGGUGUAUCGCCAGGUUUCUUUCUUGCCUAAGUGAAAGGACGUGCACCUUUGUUCGUUCUAAUUCUCGGGAGGAUGACAGAUGUCAUCCUCCGCGCUGAAAUUCUUCUUGGUAACGGUUUUGGAAAUUACAACCUUUUCAAGAACAAAUGUGAGGAUUUUGCAAUCUACUGCAAGACGGGUUAUCUGCUCCUAAUAAAUGUGGUGAUAGGGCGUAGUGGUCAGGCAGCGUCAUUGGCUCCAGCAGCUAGCUCGUUGGCUUCAUCACCAGUUCGCCUUAUGCCUACGAGUGGUCUUGCAGUUGUUGGUUGGGGAUUUUACUGUGCUAACCAUUUUUUUUCUGAUAUUGGAGUCCGCAGGGAUGUGAUGAAAAUACCUGCAAAGAGGCUUGUUUCCCGUGAUCGCCUUAUAAGUAUUUGAACCUGCAUUACUCAAAAUGGCUUCUUGGGACCAAAUCUUGAACUUAUUUAUACCUCACUAUUCUUAUCAUUCGUGAAAUACAAUUUAUUGUCAAAUGCCUUAUUA